UACGUAGGCAGCGAGCGUUGUUCGGAGUUACUGGGCGUAAAGAGUGCGUAGGCGGUUUUCUAAGGUUGGUGUGAAAUCUCCCGGCUUAACUGGGAGGGUGCGCCGAAGACUGGAAGGCUUGAGUAUGGGAGAGGUAAGCGGAAUUCCUGGUGUAGCGGUGAAAUGCGUAGAUAUCAGGAGGAACACCUGCGGUGUAGACGGCUUACUGGACCAUAACUGACGCUGAGGCACGAAAGCGUGGGUAGCAAACCGG
rnacentral:rRNA from 1 species